ACGCUCGACACCUACGGGAGCAGCAGUGGGGAAUAUUGCACAAUGGGGGAAACCCUGAUGCAGCGACGCCGCGUGGAGGAAGAAGGUCUUCGGAUUGUAAACUCCCGUUGUUGGGGAAAAAGAGGAUGGUACCCAACAAGGAAGUGACGGCUAACUACGUGCCGCAGCCGCGGUAAUCUGAGCGGGCUGGCAAGGC
rnacentral:rRNA from 1 species